GUCUUUUUGAUUAUAAUUUAAAGUCUAGCCUGCCCGAUGAAUUAUUCAAUGGCCGCAGUAUUUUAACUGUGCGAAGGUAGCAUAAUAAUUAGUUUUUUAAUUGAGAACUGGUAUGAAUGGCUGGACGAGAAAAUAGCUGUCUCAAUUUAAUUUAAAUUAGAAUUUUAUUUUUAAGUUAAAAAGCUUAAAUUUUUUUAAAAGACGAGAAGACCCUAUAGAGUUUUAUAUCAAGAUUAUAUUUAAUUUAGGAAGUAUUUGUUUUAUUUUAUAUAGUUUUAAUAUUUUAUUGGGGUGAUAUAAAAAUUUAAUAAACUUUUUAUUUUUUAAGCCAUUAAUAUAUGAUUAAAUGAUCCAUUUUUUAUGAUUAAAAGAUUAAAUUACCUUAGGGAUAACAGCGUAAUUUUUUUUUAGAGUUCUUAUCGAAAAAAAAGUUUGCGACCUCGAUGUUGAUUUAAA
rnacentral:rRNA from 1 species